rnacentral:rRNA from 1 species
AGACGAACCGAGCGAACGUUGUUCGGAAUCACUGGGCUUAAAGGGCGCGUAGGCGGGUGCUCAAGUCCGGGGUGAAAUCCUCCAGCUCAACUGGAGAACUGCCUCGGAUACUGGGUGCCUCGAGGGUGGUAGGGGUAUGCGGAACUAUCGGUGGAGCGGUGAAAUGCGUUGAUAUCGAUAGGAACUCCGGUGGCGAAGGCGGCAUACUGGACCACAUCUGACGCUGAGGCGCGAAAGCCAGGGGAGCAAACGGGA